rnacentral:lncRNA from 1 species
UUAUUGGUCAAAGGCUAUGCCUAAUAGGCAUUCAAUAGAAUUUUUGCAACCAUAAUAAGAGUUUUAGUAACUUCACAAGGAACACUUGAGAAUCAAAAAAAAAAGUUGUAAGAUUUAAGAUUUUGGCUACAAUUUGUGUGCAAAUUUUAGAGGAUUUGGAGUUAUGGUGCUAAAGUUAUAACUCUUUGAAGUUAAGGUGUCUUUUUAAGAUAUAAUAUUGCUAUAUUGAGGAUACAAGGAGUUUCUGAUAGAUUUUGGAAAUCAAAAGAUAUAGCUACAAGAAAAUUUUAAGAU